CCAAUUUCUUCUCCCGUGUGUGCUUCCUGGCCACUGGUAACUGCCGCCGCUCAGUGCGAACCGGCCGGUAGUUGCGCCACCGCCGCUGCUUGGGAAGCGAGGCCGUGUCGCACAGCGCCUGAGGGCACCGCCAUGCGCAGGAAACUGUGCCGCACCGGAGUACGUUGGCCGCCCACUCGCGUCGAGCGCCGAUGAUCUUCGGGUGCGGUUGCAGCGCCUUAGGUGGUCGCUCGGACGAGCGCUGGAGGAUGCCGCUGGGAAGGCCGGGGGCCUCUAGCCCCAGGUGCCCUCGUGCCAGGGGAAGCAGCGUCGGGCCGGCGUUGAGAACUUCGGCGUGGAGUUAUUGGUAUGGAUUUUCGAUCGAGUGAUCCUGGAUGCCAACGCCCAUAUCCUUUUCUAGUGUGUUCGAGGCUUCCAAUUCUUGAAUCGAUGGAGGCUGGCGCUGCGUUCUUCCAUCGGUUCUUCUUUCUUUGUAGUUCACGAUUGAUCAAUUCUUCGUGAGAUUCGUGUGAGCGCAUAUACAUACAGGAGAAAAACAAUUCAUUGUUAGAUUAUUAAUUGAUGAUUGCAAGAAGACAAGAUCAAUCAAUCAAUCUCCCUGAUUAGUUUCUUUCCUUUUUGUACGAGGAACAUCUCGUCUUCGCCGUGAAUCGCGUGGUGGCCGAAACUCUAGUAGCCAACUUCUCCAGACUUCUCCAGUCAUCGUCUGCGGCAAUUGCAGAUCGCCGGAGUGGCCUCCUCUGGCCAUAGAGAGGCCUUGCCGUUUGCCGCCGCUGUCGUCGGCAGUCAUGUGGCGGAUUGAAGCGCCGGAGGGCGCCGCUUCGACGCGCCUACAGAGGAGGGCGUCGUCAACCAUGGGGUGCCUCAGCCGCCUGCAUCGCGCGCUGGUGCUGCGCCGCUGGAGCGCUGUCGAGGCCGAGGGUCCUCGUGUCCUUGGGGCCGGAGGGAGGGUCAGGGACGGUGGAGCCGUCGAGUUCUUGGCCUAAUUGCUCUCUGGAAGAGGCGUGCGUGAUAACGUGUUAGAGAGAAUCGAGAGAGAGGAGCGAAUGGAAAACAGAUAUAUGAAUGAACAGUUAUUCUAUUGAUUGAAGAUUGGGGUAUUUAUACCCAGUUUA